UACGUAGGGAGCAAGCGUUGUUCGGAUUUACUGGGCGUAAAGGGCGCGUAGGCAGCGCGGUAAGUCACUUGUGAAAUCUCUGAGCUUAACUCAGAACGGCCAAGUGAUACUGCAGUGCUAGAGUGCAGAAAGGGCAAUCGGAAUUCUUGGUGUAGCGGUGAAAUGCGUAGAUAUCAAGAGGAACACCUGAGGCGAAGGCGGGUUGCUAGGCUGACACUGACGCUGAGUGCGCGAAAGCCAGGGGAGCAAACGGG
rnacentral:rRNA from 1 species